rnacentral:rRNA from 1 species
CGGACGGGGGAGUAAUGUCUGGGAAACUAGCCUGAUGAGGGGGAGUAACUACUGGAAACGGUAGCUAAUACCGCAUAACGUCGCAAGACCAAAGAGGGGGACCGUUAGGGCCUCUUGCCAUCGGAUGUGCCCAGAUGGGAUUAGCUAGUAGGUGGGGUAACGGCUCACCUAGGCGACGAUCCCUAGCUGGUCUGAGAGGAUGACCAGCCACACUGGAACUGAGACACGGUCCAG